rnacentral:rRNA from 1 species
UGGGGAAUAUUGCACAAUGGGCGCAAGCCUGAUGCAGCCAUGCCGCGUGUAUGAAGAAGGCCUUCGGGUUGUAAAGUACUUUCAGCGGGGAGGAAGGGAGUAAAGUUAAUACCUUUGCUCAUUGACGUUACCCGCAGAAGAAGCACCGGCUAACUCCGUGCCAGCAGCCGCGGUAAUACGGAGGGUGCAAGCGUUAAUCGGAAUUACUGGGCGUAAAGCGCACGCAGGCGGUUUGUUAAGUCAGAUGUGAAAUCCCCGGGCUCAACCUGGGAACUGCAUCUGAUACUGGCAAGCUUGAGUCUCGUAGAGGGGGGUAGAAUUCCAGGUGUAGCGGUGAGAUGCGUAGAGAUCUGGAGGAAUACCGGUGGCGAAGGCGGCCCCCUGGACGAAGACUGACGCUCAGGUGCGAAAGCGUGGGGAGCAAACA